rnacentral:rRNA from 1 species
UACGGGGGGAGCAAGCGUUGUUCGGAUUUACUGGGCGUAAAGCGUGCGCAGGCGGUCUGUUAAGACCGAUGUGAAAUCCCCGGGCUUAACCUGGGAACUGCAUUGGUGACUGGCAGGCUUUGAGUGUGGCAGAGGGAGGUAGAAUUCCACGUGUAGCAGUGAAAUGCGUAGAGAUGUGGAGGAAUACCGAUGGCGAAGGGCAGCCUCCUGGGCCAACACUGACGCUCAUGCACGAAAGCGUGGGGAGCAAACAGG